rfam:Aedes albopictus isolate Foshan contig134722, whole genome shotgun sequence.
UAUUCUGUGGUUUAGUUGGUUAAACCGCCAAACUAGUGAUAUAGAGUCGUGGGUUCGAAUCCCACCGAAACAA